rnacentral:rRNA from 1 species
GACGAACGCUGGCGGCGUGCCUAAUACAUGCAAGUCGAGCGCAGGAAACUGACGGAACUCUUCGGAGGGAAGGCAGUGGAAUGAGCGGCGGACGGGUGAGUAACACGUAAGGAACCUGCCUUAAGGAUUGGGAUAACUCCGAGAAAUCGGAGCUAAUACCGGAUAGUUCAACGGACCGCAUGGUCCGCUGAUGAAAGGCGCUCCGGCGUCACCUUGAGAUGGCCUUGCGGUGCAUUAGCUAGUUGGUGGGGUAACGGCCCACCAAGGCGACGAUGCAUAGCCGACCUGAGAGGGUGAUCGGACACACUGGGACUGAGACACGGCCCAGACUCCUACGGGAGGCAGCAGUAGGGAAUCUUCCACAAUGGACGAAAGUCUGAUGGAGCAACGCCGCGUGAGUGAUGAAGGUUUUCGGAUCGUAAAACUCUGUUGUGAGGGAAGAACACGUACGAGAGGAAAUGCUCGUACCUUGACGGUACCUUACGAGAAAGCCACGGCUAACUACGUGCCAGCCGCCGCGGUAAAAC